AGCCCAAUCCAAAACAGAACAAAAGAGUACUGAAGAAGCCGAAGCAAACAUAUGUGGCAAAUUAGGGUUCUACAGACAGAGAAUGGAGGACUCAAACAGAAACAGAGAUUCGAUGAUGCCCAUGUAAGAUCAGGUUCUUCUUUCCACUUAUAUUGUCAAUACUUUAGUGAACAACCUCAAUUUAUUCGUUUCGGGUAAUUCCAAGGAGAAGAGGGAGACGCAGUCGAAAACAAACAAAAGAAGAAUGUUCGCAGUGUAAGAUAAUCUAGAACUUUAUUAUUAUUGUUGUAUUGGCUUCUAAUCAAUAUUGCGUUGUUGAUUAAUUACAAGCCCAAGUAUCCGACACCGCCGCCGCCAUCUCGAAACAAAAAAAGAUUCAGGGUUAUGUAAGAUGAUCAAUUAUUUUGGACUAUCGAAAAUAUUAUUUUCUCAACAAAGAUGAGUUACAAACUUUGACUAUAUUUGCAGGGAGAGCAACGAACAAUUAUCCCAAUCAGCAAGCAGAAGUGAGUCCGAAGCUUCUGAGUACAGAGAGGAAAAAAAGAAAGCAAGGAAAAAACCGAAGUUGGAGAAGAGGAUGAAAAAAUUAAACAAGAAAAUUGGGAAACUGAC
rnacentral:lncRNA from 1 species